ACGAACGCUGGCGGCGUGCUUAACCCAUGCCAGUCGAACGGAAAGGCCCUGCUUUUGUGGGGUGCUCGAGUGGCGAACGGGUGAGUAACACGUGAGUAACCUGCCCUUGACUUUGGGAUAACUUCAGGAAACUGGGGCUAAUACCGGAUAGGAGCUCCUGCUGCAUGGUGGGGGUUGGAAAGUUUCGGCGGUUGGGGAUGGACUCGCGGCUUAUCAGCUUGUUGGUGGGGUAGUGGCUUACCAAGGCUUUGACGGGUAGCCGGCCUGAGAGGGUGACCAGCCACAAUGGGACUGAGAUACGGCCCAGACUCCUACGGGAGGCAGCAGGGGGGAAUAUUGCACAAUGGGCGGGAGCCUGAUGCAGCAACGCCGCGUGCGGGAUGACGGCCUUCGGGUUGUAAACCGCUUUCGCCUGUGACGAAGCGUGAGUGACGGUAAUGGGUAAAGAAGCACCGGCUAACUACGUG
rnacentral:rRNA from 1 species